GUGCCAGCAGCCGCGGUAAUACGGAGGGUGCUAGCGUUGUUCGGAAUCACUGGGCGUAAAGCGCGUGUAGGCGGCCCACUAAGUCUGAUGUGAAAGCCCGGGGCUCACCCCCGGAAGUGCAUUGGAAACUGGUGGACUCGAGUCCCGGAGAGGAGGGUGGAAUUCCUGGUGUAGCGGUGAAAUGCGUAGAUAUCAGGAGGAACACCGGUGGCGAAGGCGGCCCUCUGGACGGUGACUGACGCUGAGACGCGAAAGCGUGGGGAGCAAACAGGAUUAGAAACCCCCGUAGUCC
rnacentral:rRNA from 1 species